rnacentral:lncRNA from 1 species
AGCGUCUCCAACAAGCCUGCUGAAACCACUCCUACAGAGAAGGCCUUUGAACAGUCAUGGGUCCUCAGCUUCCAGACACCAAGGGCUGGGCCUGAGCCACCCUCGGAGAGCUACAAGGUUUCUACCCAAUAAAGGAACCAGAAAUCAGACUGCUCAUGCUGCCACGCCAAGUCCAGGAUCAAAAGGAUGCAUACUUAGGAAAAACAGCUUGUAGGAUCAUUGACCCACCUUCACUCCCAGAGCUUGAGCAGAACCAGCUGCAGGCAGGUUGGGGCGACUACAAAAUCCUGGGAUUCACUCAGACUUGAAGCACUUGUUGGGUGUCUACUCCUUGCCAGGCACUUAGAUAAAAAGAUGAGGUAUUCACCUCCACAACUGACACACUCCCCUCGAAGCGCCGGCUAUGAUCCUAUCUGACCCCCUCCGCAAGCAAUGUGCGCUGAACACCGCCAGCUGUGCCUCCACACUUCGCCCAGUCUUCCACUGUCCGCUAGUAACCAAGCCACGUCCUGCAGGACCCCAUAUGUUUUCAUUACUGUUAUGCUCUCAACCAGAUCGUAGUCGAGGUGUGGAGUGUUGGGGGCAGUUCUUCCAUUCAUUCAACAAGCAUUAAUUGCGUGUCUGUUACACGUCAGGCACUAUUCUAGGAUUAAGGCUUCUAAGGGGAAGCUGGCUUUGGUUCCCAGUAACCGGGUUACCGUUGUUUGGCCUCUGUCCUUGAAAACUUGCAAUGCGUUGCUUUUGAUAUUUCCGUUGUGUCCCAUGACAAGAUGCACAGACGACAGAGGCAGGCCUGAGCUUAAGAAUGGCCGGAGAUGACCUCGUAACUAAACCCGCCCCUUGGGUGCCGUGGCCCGUUUACUCUGGGCAUCUAUGGCGCAUAAAUCUACUUUAAGAGAUGUCACCCCUCUCAGGCCAGGACGCCCCACCAGGAGCGCCUCUCAGGCUGCUCCAGGAAGACAGGUACUCACAGCAAAACCAGGAGUCGGGGAGACAGCAGGUCAGACCUGCAACGGAGAAAAUGCAAAGGCGGCGAGGCAGGCCUGCCAGCAGGGCUGCGCUGUCCCUCUCGUCAGAGACGCCCAGCCCUUGCACUCACCCGCAUCCCUGGAGGAGGGGGGCUGGGGGACAGGAGGGAGGAUUCUCGUGUGGGGAAGGUAGACACGGCACGCCCAGGCUUUGGAUCAGAAGCAUCAGUAUUGAUACCAUCACGACGAGUAACAGCAAACGCUUACGGAGGGCCUACCGUCCGGAACGUUUGACCUGCAUUGACACACGUGAUUCUCACAGCAACCCCGGGAGAAAGGUGUGGUCUCAUCUUCAUUUUACACAGGAGGAAGCCGAGGCACAGAGCCGGUAAGCAAGGUGCCCGGGUGACAGAGGCAGCAAAUGGGGGGCGAGAGUCGGACACGGCAGCCUCGCUCCAAAGUCGAUUUUCGUAACUACUCUGCUCGUCAGCUCCUCCCCUUUCACAGUUCAUCCCGGGUCCCUGAGUUUAGUGGCCUCCACUGCAGGUGGGGAAAGUGGUACUCCCAGGCCUGGUCACCUGGAGGGGUCUGGUAGGUGCUCAAUGAACAGUAAAAAGAAUUAGGAAAUAGCGCAGUGAACAGAGUCCUGACCGACAUAGCUCAUCACGGCCUCGGAUUGCAGCAACAGCAGCUGACCGACCCACCAGGGCAAAAACGAAAUCUGCUGAAGGGCUACGCGAUGUCUUAAGUGGAGCUCCCAGAAAACCGUCUCUCCGGUGGAGAGUUUUCAGCAGGAAGUUCCCCGGACAGUGCUCGAGGCAACAAAACCCACGAGGGAGGGAGGGAGGCAGGACUGGCAGAGGGAGAGGUUGAACUUGAUCCCACAGGAUGGCCUGUCAGAGCCACCCCGAGGGAGGCUGCGCAGGGAGGGUGCAUGAGCUUGGGUGAGGGGACCCCAGGCCAUUCUCAGGAUGAGACAGCCGUGGCCACCAGCGAGCAAUGCUUCCAGCAGCUGAGAGAAUGAGGGCCCCGUCCUGAGGGUCCCCUGGCAGGCCCCAAAGCGCCCACGCCAGGAGGACACGCACCGAGCAGGAGUGAAGCCAAACGCCGGCCUAUGAGAGAGCGCUCCUGCAGUCACAGCGUCACUGCCAGUCCUUCCAUUCAGGGUUCAAAUCCCAGGCAGAGGGCCGCUGGCCUGGUCUACUGGGAUGCGCACACACCUGUCGGCCAGGGUGGGCGGAGUCUUUGAUCCAAAGUUCCAGCAAGACUGGAUUCAGAGUUAAACCAUAGAGUAACUGACAGAGGAGGAAACAGAUGCCAGGUGGGCAAAACGACAGAUGUCCGUAACCUCCCAGUCAGAGCCUUGGGGAGAAAUCCUGGGAGACUCGGUGUUAGACAGUUUGCAGAAAGCCCCAUUAUCUGCAUCCUUGCCUUCAGCCCUUUGAAAGGUGACUUUCAAGCUCCUCCAUCAGGAGGCUGCUCCUUCCUCGGCCUCGUCACCUGCUCUGACCAUCAGGACACAGCAGACGUGAGGCCAUGCUGGUUCUGAGCCUAGACCUGCGAGCUCUUGAGUCCUUGCAUCUCUCGGGGAUCCUGCCCAGCGGCCACGUGGACAGGCUUGGUCUAGUCCGCUGGAGGAUGGCAGACCACGUGGAGCGGGAUGAGCCAUCUUAACUCAGGGCAUCGCCAGCCCGCCCACCCCAGCUGACUCCACAUCCACCCGCACAUGCGUGAGGGAGCCCCAUCAAGCCUCGUGAGCCCAGCCCCAAGCACCACCCACAGAACAAUGAGCUCAAUAUGUGG